rnacentral:other from 1 species
AUGCCUCUGUUGUGUUCGUGAUGUAAUGUCGUCGUGCACCUUUAUUCCCUUACAAUAGGGAUCCCAAAUCCGGUGUCGGCUGUCAGGCUCGCCCGCUUGCGGGUAUAGAGAAGGCAAAAGCAUCGUGCGGGAACCCACCUGACAUUAGUCAGGUGCAUAAACAAUUACACACGGCAUGAAUGGAGGCUUU